ensembl:lncRNA
AGACAGUAUCUGUGAAUGGAAGGUUAAGGCACAGCCAUCCAUCUUCUGACGCCCAGGAAGGUGGCUACACGUUUCGCUGCCAUACUGCACUUCCCUGAUUCCACUUCACAGAGCAGCCUCACCCCAGCAGAGAAUUUUCUUACAGCUGAUAGGAUCUGGAACAAUGCAAACCCUGAGGAGAGUGGAGUCACCUGAGAACUAAGUGGGCACAUGAGACCUCUGGUUGCCCUGUUUUCACAGUAUCCUCUUCAUCUUCCCUUCACCUUCAAGGAGUUUCAGAAAUAGCUGUUUCUCAGCAUGGUACUGGCAAAGAAACAGACCUGAGGACCAGUGGAACAGAUUAGAAGAUGCAGAAACAACUCCAGACACACUCAGCCAUCUCAUCUUUGAUAAAGGAGCCAAACACCCUCACUGGAGGAAAG